rnacentral:rRNA from 1 species
AUUGAACGCUGGCGGCAUACUUUACACAUGCAAGUCGAACGGUAACAGGGUGCUUGCACCGCUGACGAGUGGCGAACGGGUGAGUAAUGCGUCGGAACGUGCCGAGUAGUGGGGGAUAACGCAGCGAAAGUUGUGCUAAUACCGCAUACGUACUGAGGUAGAAAGGGGGGGACCUUCGGGCCUCACGCUAUUCGAGCGGCCGACGGUGGACUAGCUAGUAGGUGAGGUACAGGCUCGCCUAGGCGACGAUCAGUAGCGGGUCUGAGAGGAUGAUCCGCCACACUGGGACUGAGACACGGCCCAGACUCCUACGGGAGGCAGCAGUGGGGAAUUUUGGACAAUGGGCGAAAGCCUGAUCCAGCCAUGCCGCGUGUCUGAAGAAGGCCUUCGGGUUGUAAAGGACUUUUGUCAGGGAGGAAAUCCCUAGUGCUAAUAACACUGGGGGAUGACAGUACCUGAAGAAUAAGCACCGGCUAACUCUGUGCCAGCCGCCGCCGUAA